UGGGGAAUAUUGGACAAUGGGCGAAAGCCUGAUCCAGCCAUGCCGCGUGUGUGAAGAAGGUCUUCGGAUUGUAAAGCACUUUAAGUUGGGAGGAAGGGCAGUAAGUUAAUACCUUGCUGUUUUGACGUUACCGACAGAAUAAGCACCGGCUAACUCUGUGCCAGCAGCCGCGGUAAUACAGAGGGUGCAAGCGUUAAUCGGAAUUACUGGGCGUAAAGCGCGCGUAGGUGGUUUGUUAAGUUGGAUGUGAAAGCCCCGGGCUCAACCUGGGAACUGCAUUCAAAACUGACAAGCUAGAGUAUGGUAGAGGGUGGUGGAAUUUCCUGUGUAGCGGUGAAAUGCGUAGAUAUAGGAAGGAACACCAGUGGCGAAGGCGACCACCUGGACUGAUACUGACACUGAGGUGCGAAAGCGUGGGGAGCAAACAGGAUUAGAUACCCUUGUAGUCCCUGAGCGGGCUGGCAAGGCGCAU
rnacentral:rRNA from 1 species